rnacentral:tRNA from 1 species
GGAUUGUGGCUCAGAGGAAGAGUGCUUGCCUUGCAUGCAUGAGGUACUGGGUUCAAUCCUCAGCACCA